UACGUAGGGUGCGAGCGUUGUCCGGAAUUACUGGGCGUAAAGAGCUCGUAGGCGGUCUGUCGCGUCGAUCGUGAAAACCUGCAGCUUAACUGUGGGCUUGCGGUCGAUACGGGCAUGACUGGAGUUCGGCAGGGGAGACUGGAAUUCCUGGUGUAGCGGUGAAAUGCGCAGAUAUCAGGAGGAACACCGGUGGCGAAGGCGGGUCUCUGGGCCGAUACUGACGCUGAGGAGCGAAAGCGUGGGGAGCGAACAGG
rnacentral:rRNA from 1 species